rnacentral:misc_RNA from 1 species
UAUCAAACUGUUGCAACAAUUGACAAUGGUUAAAGAUUAAUGAUUACAACAAACUAUUCAAUCAAUCUAAAUCACAGGUUUCUGCUUAGUAAGAUCAAGAGACUCACUCAAUUCAAUAGUCACCCUCCUAGUGCCAUCAUCACCUAGAUGAUGAUUGCUUGCAGAUUUCAGAAUCGAAGUAGAACCAUCUCCCAAAUCUAUAUCAUUUGUGUUGGGAUCUUUCUAAUACUACUUUCUGACACCAUUGGUUAAAAUUGGAGGAUGAAAAUGGACUUAUAUGAAAGAAAUUUUUUAUUAGCAGAGACUAAACGGUAAGUUUACAACUCAAAAGAAACUCCCGGCACACGUUUAUUUUUUCUCUCUCUCAUGCCAACACUAGCACACACAAGACUUUCCCUCACUCACCUCACUUGUUCACACAGCACACACACUUGAUUGCAAGCUCUCACAUUUACUUUUUCUUACACACUCUUGCAUUCAACGCCUGCGCGCACAAACACAUAUUUAUAAUAGUUCAAUGGCGGUGACUAAAGCAAUACGGCCCACAUGUUAAAAAGGUGAUGAAGAUUAUUGACGCUUCUUUAAUGGCGUGUCCUCUCCAAGGUUGAUGGUACCAGAAUUUAAUGGAUUCUAGAGUAGAUAAAGAAGUCUAGAAAAAGCAAUUCUAGAAUAUGAAAGGCGGUGUUGAAUUCUUCAACAAUUUGUUGCCUCAUCUUUGUUCCUCAGAGAAUACUUGAAAUAUCCCUCAUCAAUUCACUCCAUGCGACCCUCGUAUCCACGACUACUUGUUUCCAUUUCCUUUUGUCCAUGAUGAUCCACGCCCAUUGACACG